rnacentral:rRNA from 1 species
AUUGAACGCUGGCGGCGGGCUUAAUACAUGCAAGUCGAGCGAGAGGCGGAGGGGUGAGUGAUGUCUGAGAAAGUGCGUGACGGAGGGAGAUAACUACGAGAAACGGUAGAUACUACAGCAAACCGUCAGAUGGGGCCUGAUGGGAUUAGCUAGUAGGUGGGGUAAUGGCUCAUCUCGGCGACGAUCCCUAGCUGGUCGGAGAGGAUGAGCGGCCACACUGGAACUGAGACACGGUCCAGACUCCUACGUGAGGCAGCAGUGGGGAAUAUUGCACAAUGGGCGCAAGCCUGAUGCAGCCAUGCCGCGUGUGUGAAGAAGGCCUUCGGGUUGUAAAGCACUUUCAGCGAGGAGGCGUUACUCGCAGAAGAAGCACCGGCUAACUCCGUGCCAGCCGCCGCGGUAAUAC